rnacentral:rRNA from 1 species
AUGAACGCUAGCGGCAGGCUUAACACAUGCAAGCCGAGGGGCAGCACGGUAGCAAUACUGGUGGCGACCGGCGCACGGGUGAGUAACGCGUAUGCAAUCUACCUUUAACCGGGGAAUAGCUCAGAGAAAUCUGAAUUAAUACCCCAUAACAUUCUGAGGAGGCAUCUCCUUGGUCUUAAAGCUCCGGCGGUUAAAGAUGAGCAUGCGUACCAUUAGCUAGUUGGUAAGGUAACGGCUUACCAAGGCUACGAUGGUUAGGGGGUCUGAGAGGAUGAUCCCCCACACUGGUACUGAGACACGGACCAGACUCCUACGGGAGGCAGCAGUGAGGAAUAUUGGUCAAUGGGUGCAAGCCUGAACCAGCCAUGCCGCGUGAAGGAUUAAGGCGCUAUGCGUUGUAAACUUCUUUUAUACGGGAAAAAACCCCUGAACGUGUUCGGGGCUGAUGGUACCGUAAGAAUAAGGAUCGGCUAACUCCGU